rnacentral:rRNA from 1 species
GACGAACGCUGGCGGCGUGCCUAAUACAUGCAAGUAGAACGCUGAAGGAGGAGCUUGCUUCUCUGGAUGAGUUGCGAACGGGUGAGUAACGCGUAGGUAACCUGCCUGGUAGCGGGGGAUAACUAUUGGAAACGAUAGCUAAUACCGCAUAAUAGUAGAUGUUGCAUGACAUUUGCUUAAAAGGUGCAAUUGCAUCACUACCAGAUGGACCUGCGUUGUAUUAGCUAGUUGGUGAGGUAACGGCUCACCACGGCAACGAUACAUAGCCGACCUGGGAGGGGGGACGGCCCAACUGGGAACGGGAACCGGCCCCGACUCCCACGGGGAGCAGCAGGAGGGAAACUUCGGCAAUGGACGGAAGGCUUGACGGGCAACGCCGCGGGAGGGAAGGAGGGUUUCGGGUCGGAAAGCUCUGUUGUAAGAGAAGAACGAGUGGGGGAGUGGAAAGUUCACACUGUGACGGUAUCUAACCAGAAAGGGACGGCUAACUACGUG